GGUCAAGCUACUAAGGGCAUGUGGUGGAUGCCUUGGCACUCAGAGGCGAUGAAGGACGUGGGUGGCUGCGAUAAGCCAGGGGGAGGAGCUAACCAUCCCGUGAUCCCUGGAUCUCCGAAUGGGGAAACCCGGUGCCCGUCGUGAGUGACCCUCACGCCGGAGCAUCAACCUCGCAAGAGGUGGCAAACCCGGGGAACUGAAACAUCUCAGUACCCGGAGGAAGAGAAAUCAAACGAGAAUCCGCUAGUAGCGGCGAGCGAACGCGGACGAGCCCAAACCGGCCCAGUGCAAGCCUGCCGGCGUUGCUGGGUCGGGGUUGCGGGAUCUCGUCGGAGGAAUCGGCAGGUUCCUCGGGGAGUUACAAACCAGAGCCUGGGAGGGGAACGUCCCUGGAAAGGACGGCCAUAGAGAGUGACAGCCUCGUACCCGAAUCCGCAUCUGGCUCCCUGGACGAGACACCCAAGUACGGCGGGACACGUGGAACCCUGCCGGAAUCCGGGAGGACCAUCUUCCAAGGCUAAACACUCCUGAGUGACCGAUAGUGAACCAGUACCGUGAGGGAAAGGUGAAAAGUACCCCCGCUAGGGGAGUGAAAUAGUACCUGAAACCGCAUGCCUACAAGCAGUUCGAGGGCUAUGGCCGCAAGGCAAUGCCUGAGAGCGUACCUUUUGCAUCAUGAGCCAACGAGUUGCGACUCUGCAGCAAGGUUAAGCCGAAGGAGGCGUAGCCGUAGGGAAACCAAGUCUGAACAGGGCGUUCAGUUGCAGGGUGCAGACCCGAAACCAGUCGAUCUAUCCAUGGGCAGGGUGAAACGUGGGUAAAACCACACGGAGGCCCGAACCCACCGUCGUUGAAAAGACGGGGGAUGACCUGUGGAUCGGAGUGAAAGGCUAAUCAAGGCUGGAGAUAGCUGGUUCUCCCCGAAACAUAUUGAGGUAUGGCCUCGACGAAAUCAGGGGCGGAGGUAGAGCACUGGAUGGGCUAGGGGGCCUACCAGCUUACCAAACCCAACCAAACUUCGAAUUCCGUCCGCUGUUACGUCGGGAGACAGUCCACGAGCGAUAAGGUCCGUGGGCGAGAGGGAAAGACCCCAGACCGCCGGCUAAGGUCCCCAAGCACGCGCUAAGUGGUGAAGGAUGUGAGACCGCGUAAACAACCAGGAGGUUGGCUUAGAAGCAGCCAUCCUUUAAAGAAAGCGUAAUAGCUCACUGGUCGAAUGUGGUCUUGCGCCGAAUAUUCAACGGGGCUCAAGCGCGUCGCCGAAGCCGCGGAUUGCCACCUCUGGUGGCGAUGGUAGGGGAGCAUUGGAGUUGCCUGCGAAGGUCGACCGUGAGGACGGCUGGAGGUACUCCAAGAGAUGAUGUUGGCAUAAGUAGCGAUAAACCAGGUGAGAAACCUGGUCGCCGAAAACCCAAGGGUUCCCUGGCUAGGCUAAUCCGCCAGGGGUUAGUCGGGUCCUAAGCCGAGGCCGAGAGGCGUAGGUGAUGGAAAUCAGGUUAAUAUUCCUGGACCACUUCGAGGAGGUUGAAGCGAGGGGGGACGGAGAAGGGUAGGCCAUCCGGGUGAUGGACGUCCCGGUUCAAGGUUGUAGGGGGAUCUCCCAGGAGGCCUCGUGCCGCAAACGGGAGGUCGCCAACCCCGAGAACUGAUGAGCGUGUCAAUCCUUCGGGUGCGAUACGACUGGUCGAUCCCAUGCUUCCAAGAAAAGCCCCGCGUGGACGAAUCGGAGUGCCCGUACCGGAAACCGACACAGGUGGGUGGGGUGAGAAACCCAAGGCGCUUGGGUGACUCCUCCUUAAGGAACUCUGCAAAUUGCCACCGUAACUUCGGGAGAAGGUGGGCCUGGUCGGGUCAGGGGACUCGCUCCCGCAGCCUGACCGGGUCGCAGAGAGCAGGGGGUAGCGACUGUUUACCAAAAACACAGCACUCUGCCAAGUCGUAAGACGACGUAUAGGGUGUGACGCCUGCCCGGUGCCGGAAGGUUAAGGGGAGAUGUCAGGGCAACCGAAGCAUUGAACCGAAGCCCCGGUAAACGGCGGCCGUAACUAUAACGGUCCUAAGGUAGCGAAAUUCCUUGUCGGGUAAGUUCCGACCUGCACGAAUGGCGUAACGACUUCCCCACUGUCUCGAGGAGGAUCCCAGCGAAAUUGGAGUCUCGGUGCAGAUACCGGGUUCCCGCGGCUAGACGGAAAGACCCCGGAACCUUUACUGCAACUUGGCAGUGAAUAUUGGGCGGGUUUGUGUAGGAUAGGUGGGAGGCGUUGAAGUGGGGGCGCUAGCUUCCAUGGAGCCGUCCUUGAAAUACCACCCUGAUUCGUCCGGUGUUCUAACCUGCGUCGGUCAUCCCGACGAGGGACACUGCCUGGUGGGUAGUUUGACUGGGGCGGUCGCCUCCCAAAAUGUAACGGAGGUGUGCAAAGGUCCCCUCAGCCUGAUUGGAAACCAGGCGUCGAGUGCAAAGGCAUAAGGGGGCUUGACUGCGAGACUGACAGGUCGAGCAGGUGCGAAAGCAGGCCUUAGUGAUCCGGUGGUCCCGCAUGGAAGGGCCAUCGCUCAUCGGCUAAAAGGUACUCUGGGGAUAACAGGCUGAUCACGCCCAAGAGUUCACAUCGACGGCGUGGUUUGGCACCUCGAUGUCGGCCCAUCGCAUCCUGGGGCUGGAGUAGGUCCCAAGGGUCCGGCUGUUCGCCGGUUAAAGCGGUACGCGAGCUGGGUUCAGAACGUCGUGAGACAGUUCGGUCUCUAUCUGCCGCGGGUGUAGGAGUCUUGAGGGGACCUGCCCUUAGUACGAGAGGACCAGGGUGGACGAACCUCUGGUUUGCCGGUUGUCGCGCCAGCGGCAUUGCCGGGUAUCCACGUUCGGAACGGAUAACCGCUGAAAGCAUCUAAGUGGGAAGCCGACCCCAAAACAAGGACUCCCAGCGCAAGCUCUGAAGGCCCGUCGGAGAACACGACGUUGAUAGGCCACAGGUGUAAGCGUGGUAACACGUUCAGCCAAGUGGUACUAAUCGGCCGUGCGGCUUGACCAU
rnacentral:rRNA from 1 species